GAGUUUGAUCAUGGCUCAGAGCGAACGCUGGCGGCGUGCCUAACACAUGCAAGUCGAACGUGAACGGGAGCAAUCCUUAGUAAAGUGGCGUACGGGUGAGUAACGCGUAGGCAAUCUACCCCAGAGUCUGGAAUAACCUGCCGAAAGGCGGGCUAAUACUGGAUAGAGCGACGGAAUCCGUAAUUGGGUUUUUCGGGAAAGGGAGGUCGUAAGAUCCCUUGCUCUGGGAUGAGCCUGCGUCCCAUCAGCUAGUUGGUAAGGUAAUGGCUUACCAAAGGCGAUGACGGGUAGCUGGUCUGAGAGGAUGACCAGGCCACACUGGAACUGAAACACGGUCCAGACUCCUACGGGAGGCAGCAGUGGGGAAUCUUGCGCAAAUGGACG
rnacentral:rRNA from 1 species